UUCUGGGCUUGCUCUGCAUGUCGGGCUCCCUGCACUUUUGGUGCGGCCAACCGAACAUGGGGCGGUCUCUUCACUCUCCCUCCCGUCAUGCAAUAUGUUGGGGUUGGGAUGCUUGUGAUCGGUUGCCUGUGCGGUUCUACCCUCUUUUGGGUAGCGAAGUCGUCCCUCGAUGGUUAUUUGCUUGCCCUUCUGACAUUUUUUUGUCGUUUGGGCAGCCGAAAUGUUGGCGAAAUCCUUGUGUUGGUGCGUGGUCGAAUGCCUUGCUGCUAUCRCUUGGAUUUUUGCCGGCUCUCACGGAUGCGGUGCCUAGUGCUAUAGCUCUGCGGGACUUUGCCCCGCAGACUUCGGGAGGUCCCUUGUACGAGUCACUGCUCCUAUACGCCGUCUCGUCGUGUUGCCGGUGGCGACACGCAGAUCGUGUUCUCGUCGUGUUGUAGUUAACGACACUUCGGGAACAAAGUGUCCGGAGCGUGCUCGCGUGCAUGCGGAGYGCCUCUCGUUCGUAUGAGCAGCGAUUUCCGGUCUGCGUCCUGCGAAGGCCCGCCCGUCCGGGUCGGUGCCGGAGCUGACGCGCCGGCUCUCGUUCAAGACGUGCUACCUGGUUGAU
rnacentral:misc_RNA from 1 species